rnacentral:rRNA from 1 species
CUACGGGUCGCAGCAGUGGGGAAUAUUGGACAAUGGGGGAAACCCUGAUCCAGCAAUGCCGCGUGUGUGAAGAAGGCCUGCGGGUUGUAAAGCACUUUCGGUUGGGAGGACUGUUUCUAGCACUAAUAUUGUUGGAAGUUGACGUUACCUUCAGAAGAAGCACCGGCUAACUCCGUGCCAGCAGCCGCGGUAAUACGGAGGGUGCAUGCGUUAAUCGGAAUUACUGGGCGUAAAGCGCGCGUAGGCGGCUAGAUCAGUCGGGUGUGAAAGCCCCGGGCUUAACCUGGGAACUGCAUCCGAUACUGUCUAGCUUGAGUACAGGAGAGGAGAGUGGAAUUCCACAUGUAGCGGUGAAAUGCGUAGAUAUGUGGAGGAACACCAAUGGCGAAGGCAGCUCUCUGGCCUGAUACUGACGCUGAGGUGCGAAAGCGUGGGGAGCAAACAGGAUUAGAUACCCUAGUAGUC